AUUGAACGCUGGCGGCAGGCCUAACACAUGCAAGUCGAGCGGAUGAAGGGAGCUUGCUCCUGGAUUCAGCGGCGGACGGGUGAGUAAUGCCUAGGAAUCUGCCUGGUAGUGGGGGAUAACGUCCGGAAACGGGCGCUAAUACCGCAUACGUCCUGAGGGAGAAAGUGGGGGAUCUUCGGACCUCACGCUAUCAGAUGAGCCUAGGUCGGAUUAGCUAGUUGGUGGGGUAAAGGCCUACCAAGGCGACGAUCCGUAACUGGUCUGAGAGGAUGACCAGUCACACUGGAACUGAGACACGGUCCAGACUCCUACGGGAGGCAGCAGUGGGGAAUAUUGGACAAUGGGCGAAAGCCUGAUCCAGCCAUGCCGCGUGUGUGAAGAAGGUCUUCGGAUUGUAAAGCACUUUAAGUUGGGAGGAAGGGCAGUAAGUUAAUACCUUGCUGUUUUGACGUUACCAACAGAAUAAGCACCGGCCAACUUCGUG
rnacentral:rRNA from 1 species